rnacentral:rRNA from 1 species
UACGAAGGGGGCUAGCGUUGCUCGGAAUCACUGGGCGUAAAGCGCACGUAGGCGGACUCUUAAGUCGGUGGUGAAAUCCUGGAGCUCAACUCCAGAACUGCCUUCGAUACUGAGAGUCUCGAGUCCGGGAGAGGUGAGUGGAACUGCGAGUGUAGAGGUGAAAUUCGUAGAUAUUAGGAAGAACACCAGUGGCGAAGGCGGCUCACUGGAUCGGUACUGACGCUGAGGUGCGAAAGCGUGGGGAGCAAACAGG